AACUGCAUUACAGGGCAAGAUUUCCAUUGGCAGGCAGCCACUUAUUUGUGCACCCAAACUCAUGCAUUCAUGUGGUGUGCCCUCUGCCAAAGGAGAUUUGCCCGGCAAUUCUUUU
rnacentral:pre_miRNA from 1 species